rnacentral:rRNA from 1 species
AUUGAACGCUGGCGGCAGGCCUAACACAUGCAAGUCGAGCGGCGCGGCGGACGGGCGAGUAAAGCCUAGGCAUCUGCCUGGUAGAGGAGGAUAACGUCCGGUAACGAGCGCUAAUACCGCAUACUAUCAGAUGAGCCUAGGUCGGUUAGGCUGGUUGGUGGGGUAAAUGCCUACCAAGGCGACGAUCCGUAACUGGUCUGAGAGGAUGAUCAGUCAGACUGGAACUGAGACACGGUCCAGACUCCUACGGUAGGAAGCAGUGGGGAAUAUUGGACAAUGGGCGAAAGCCUGAUCCAGCCAUGCCGCGUGGGUGGAGAAGGUCUUCGGAUUGUAAAGCAUUUUAAGUUGGGAGGCGUUACCAACAGAAUAAGCACCGGCUAACUUCGUGCCAGCAGCCGCGGUAAUAC